UACGUAGGGGGCAAGCGUUAUCCGGAUUUACUGGGUGUAAAGGGAGCGCAGACGGAUGGAUAAGUCUGAAGUGAAAGCCCGCGGCUCAACUGCGGGACUGCUUUGGAACUGUAUGGCUGGAGUGUCGGAGAGGCAGGCGGAAUUCCUAGUGUAGCGGUGAAAUGCGUAGAUAUUAGGAGGAACACCAGUGGCGAAGGCGGCCUGCUGGACGAUGACUGACGUUGAGGCUCGAAAGCGUGGGGAGCAAACAGG
rnacentral:rRNA from 1 species